CGGACGGGUGAGUAACGCGUGGGUAACCUACCCUGUACACACGGAUAACAUACUGAAAGGUAUGCUAAUACGGGAUAAUAUAUUUGAGAGGCAUCUCUUGAAUAUCAAAGGUGAGCCAGUACAGGAUGGACCCGCGUCUGAUUAGCUAGUUGGUAAGGUAACGGCUUACCAAGGCGACGAUCAGUAGCCGACCUGAGAGGGUGAUCGGCCACAUUGGAACUGAGACACGGUCCAAACUCCUACGGGAGGCAGCAUG
rnacentral:rRNA from 1 species